rnacentral:rRNA from 1 species
CCUACGGGUGGCAGCAGUGGGGAAUAUUGCGCAAUGGGCGAAAGCCUGACGCAGCGACGCCGCGUGAGGGAUGAAGGUCUUCGGAUCGUAAACCUCUGUCAGCAGGGAAGAACGGUCACUGUGCUAAUCAGCAGUGAAUUGACGGGACCUGCAAAGGAAGCACCGGCUAACUCCGUGCCAGCGGCCGCGGUAAUACGGAGGGUGCGGCAGUUAAUCGUAAUUACUGGGGGUAAAGCGCUCGUAGACGGUAUGGCAGGUCAAGGGUGAAAUCCCCGCGCUCAACGUGGGAACUGCCUGUGAAACUGGCAAACUGGAGUGUGUGCGAGGAUAGUGGAAUUCCAGGUGUAGGAGUGAAAUCCGUAGAUAUCUGGAGGAACAUCAGUGGCGAAGGCGACUAUCUGGCACAUAACUGACGCUGAGGAGCGAAAGCGUGGGUAGCAAACAGGAUUAGAUACCCGUGUAGUC